AACAUAAUCCAGGUGUGUGCCAAUUUAACUAGCAGGCGUGGUCCUCUAAUUGCCCCGAAUUUCUCCCGCAAACUGAGCCCUGCCAAUUCUGACAUACUGUUGUAAGCAUCGAUAUAUGAAAAAACAGAACCAAACAAUGCAAGUUUGUAACAAACUUUAUUUCUACGCAGAUUUACAAGAAAUGAUACUGCUAGUAAAGUACCUGAACUUCAUUUUAUAAGCCUGGAACUUUAUUAGGGUUAUUGGGGGUAAUUAAUGAAUUGCUAAAAAAUACUUUAGUCCCAUUGCUUGUUGUGACGCUUGUGUUGGUAGCAGCAAUGAACAUGAGCAACAACUGAAAAUAACGUUGUUACAUUUUUAUUACUUACUAAAGGAACAACAUGAAAUAACACUCAAAAUUAAACACAAUUUCUGACACUACCCUACAGAAUCUGAACUCGAGGAACUUAAAAAACUUGAGGAAGAACAGCCAGUCUUGAUCACUGAGGAGGAAGGGCUGUGUGUGCAGAUUGCUGCUCUCUGUCAUGAUCUGGGUCAUGGCCCCUUCUCUCACCAGUUUGAUGAUCUGUUCAUUCCAAAAGUAGUAGAAAAGCUCUCAGCAGAGCUU